GACGAACGCUGGCGGCGUGCUUAACACAUGCAAGUCGAACGGAAAGGCCCUGCUUUUGUGGGGUGCUCGAGUGGCGAACGGGUGAGUAACACGUGAGUAACCUGCCCUUGACUUUGGGAUAACUUCAGGAAACUGGGGCUAAUACCGGAUAGGAGCUCCUGCUGCAUGGUGGGGGUUGGAAAGUUUCGGCGGUUGGGGAUGGACUCGCGGCUUAUCAGCUUGUUGGUGGGGUAGUGGCUUACCAAGGCUUUGACGGGUAGCCGGCCUGAGAGGGUGACCGGCCACAAUGGGACUGAGAUACGGCCCAGACUCCUACGGGAGGGAGCAGUGGGGAAUAUUGCACAAUGGGCGGAAGCCUGAUGCAGCAACGCCGCGUGCGGGAUGACGGCCUUCGGGUUGUAAACCGCUUUCGCCUGUGACGAAGCGUGAGUGACGGUAAUGGGUAAAGAAGCACCGGCUAACUACGUG
rnacentral:rRNA from 1 species